CAGUAGCCGCGGGAAUACGGAGGGUGCGAGCGUUAAUCGGAAUUACUGGGCGUAAAGCGUGCGCAGGCGGUUAUAUAAGUCAGAUGUGAAAUCCCCGGGCUCAACCUGGGAACUGCAUUUGUGACUGGCGGGCUAGAGUAUGGCAGAGGGGGGUAGAAUUCCACGUGUAGCAGUGAAAUGCGUAGAGAUGUGGAGGAAUACCGAUGGCGAAGGCAGCCCCCUGGGCCAAUACUGACGCCCAUGCACGAAAGCGUGGGGAGCAAACAGGAUUAGAUACCCGGGUAGUCCCUGUCUCUUAUAA
rnacentral:rRNA from 1 species